AAAUUACUUCCAUACACCCUACACACAUUCCCCACACAUCCAAAUUAAUUCACUCUUUGGAAACGUUCAGCCUUUUUUUAAUUAAUAAAAUUCUGUGUGUGUGUGUGUGUGUGUGUGUGUGU